CCUACGGGUGGCAGCAGUGGGGAAUAUUGGACAAUGGGCGAAAGCCUGAUCCAGCCAUGCCGCGUGUGUGAAGAAGGCCUUCGGGUUGUAAAGCACUUUCAGUGGGGAAGAAAGCCUUGGGGCUAAUACCCUCGAGGAAGGACAUCACCCACAGAAGAAGCACCGGCUAACUCCGUGCCAGCAGCCGCGGUAAUACGGAGGGUGCGAGCGUUAAUCGGAAUUACUGGGCGUAAAGCGCGCGUAGGCGGUCUGAUAAGCCGGUUGUGAAAGCCCCGGGCUCAACCUGGGAACGGCAUCCGGAACUGUCAGGCUAGAGUGCAGGAGAGGAAGGUAGAAUUCCCGGUGUAGCGGUGAAAUGCGUAGAGAUCGGGAGGAAUACCAGUGGCGAAGGCGGCCUUCUGGACUGACACUGACGCUGAGGUGCGAAAGCGUGGGUAGCAAACAGGAUUAGUACCUUGUAGUC
rnacentral:rRNA from 1 species